rnacentral:pre_miRNA from 2 species
UCAUAUGGAUGAGCAAAGAAAGUGGUUUCUUGAGAUGGAAUCAACAUCUAAUGAAGAUGCGGUGAA